UUGAAUUGGUUGUUAUACAUAUCAAAUGUUUGAUGGGUUUUAGGAUAGUUUGGUUUUAAAUCAUUACUGUGUGUGUGUACAUGUGUUGAAAAUUAAUUAUCAAGUUUAAAAUGCAUUAAAAAAUGGAAGAAGAGAGGGAAAUGGGCACCAAAGUUGAUCAGCUGCAUAGGUACCACGCGUGCCAGACGAGCGAGGGAUAUCACCCAAGCACGCAUAUGUGUCGGGAUAAGGCCACCUGCAAGGUACACGCGUAGCAAUAACCUUAUAUGCGAGCUUCAUCAAGCGCACAGGUGCACUGAGGGAGCCCAUAGAUGUAAGGUGUUGGUCUAUACAGGGAUUGCCUUAAUAUGCCCUUAAUG
rnacentral:lncRNA from 1 species